rnacentral:rRNA from 1 species
UACAGGGGGUGCAAGCGUUAAUCGGAAUUACUGGGCGUAAAGCGCGCGUAGGUGGUUUGUUAAGUUGGAUGUGAAAUCCCCGGGCUCAACCUGGGAACUGCAUCCAAAACUGGCAAGCUAGAGUAUGGUAGAGGGUGGUGGAAUUUCCUGUGUAGCGGUGAAAUGCGUAGAUAUCUGGAGGAAUACCGGUGGCGAAGGCGGCAUCCUGGACCAUUACUGACGCUGAGGCGCGAAAGCUAGGGGAGCAAACAGGG